rnacentral:rRNA from 1 species
GAUGAACGCUGGCGGCGUGCUUAACACAUGCAAGUCGAACGGGAAGCAUUUUAUUGAAGCUUCGGCAGAUUUAGCUUGUUUCUAGUGGCGGACGGGUGAGUAACGCGUGGGUAACCUGCCUUAUACUGGGGGAUAACAGUUAGAAAUGGCUGCUAAUACCGCAUAAGCGCACGGAGCCGCAUGGCUCAGUGUGAAAAACUCCGGUGGUAUAAGAUGGACCCGCGUUGGAUUAGCUAGUUGGCAGGGGAGCGGCCUACCAAGGCUACGAUCCAUAGGGGGCAGGCGAGGGUGAACGAGCACAAUGGUACUAACACACUGAGCAGACUACUACGGGAGGCAGCAGUGGGGAAGAUUGCACAAUGGGGGAAACCCUGAUGCAGCGACGCCGCGUGAAGGAAGAAGUAUCUCGGUAUGUAAGCUUCUAUCAGCAUGGAAGAUAAUGACGGUACCUGACUAAGAAGCCCCGGCUAACUACGUGCCAGCCGCCGCGGUAA